UAUGAAUUCAUCUUGACUAAGGAACUCUUCACAGCACUGCAUCUGAACAGUCACAACCUCACAGAGCAGCACAACCGCCCCACUCAGGAUCAGUGUUAUGGUGCCAUUUUGAAGCUGGAACCUCAUCUUGUGUACAGAAAAGGUAGAGUUGAAAAUUCACUGGAUGUCUUGUAUUGUGUGUGGCAAAACCUGGGAUAACACAUGGGAGCCUUCCAGGAAUUCCCGACACUUUACACCCAAGUCUCCUCAUGCCAACCGGUUUGCAAUAUGACAGUCUAGUCACCAUAAACACCUGGACUCGCCAAGCACACAUUGGUUCUCAGUGUUUUGUAAAAAUGUUGCUGUUCU